ACUCAAAUGAAUAGACGGGGGCCCGCACAAGCGGAGGAACAUGUGGUUUAAUUCGAUGAUACGCGAGGAACCUUACCCGGGCUUGAAAUGCAAUAGACGAACGGAGAGAUCUGUUUUCCAGCAAUGGUUAUUGUGUAGGUGCUGCAUGGUUGUCGUCAGCUCGUGCCGUGAGGUGUCGGCUUAAGUGCCAUAACGAGCGCAACCCUUGCCGUUAGUUGCCAGCGCAUAAAGGUGGGAACUCUAGCGGGACUGCCAUCGUAAGAUGUGAGGAAGGUGGGGAUGACGUCAAAUCAGCACGGCCCUUACGUCCGGGGCGACACACGUGUUACAAUGGGGGGUACAGAGGGCAGCGACAGUGCGAGCUGAAGCGAAUCUCAUAAAACCCUUCUCAGUUCGGAUAGGAGUCUGCAACUCGACUCCUUGAAGCUGGAUUCGCUAGUAAUCGCGCAUCAGCCAUGGCGCGGUGAAUACGUUCCCGGGCCUUGUACACACCGCCCGU
rnacentral:rRNA from 1 species